rnacentral:rRNA from 1 species
CCUACGGGAGGCUGCAGUCGAGAAUCAUUCACAAUGGGGGAAACCCUGAUGGUGCGACGCCGCGUGGGGGAAUGAAGGUCUUCGGAUUGUAAACCCCUGUCAUGUGGGAGCAAAUUAAAAAGAUAGUACCACAAGAGGAAGCGACGGCUAACUCUGUGCCAGCAGCCGCGGUAAUACGGAGGUCUCAAGCGUUGUUCGGAAUCACUGGGCGUAAAGCGUGCGUAGGCUGUUUCGUAAGUCGUGUGUGAAAGGCGCGGGCUCAACCCGCGGACGGCACAUGAUACUGCGAGACUAGAGUAAGGGAGGUGGAACCGGAAUUCUCGGGGUAGCAGUGAAAUGCGUAGAUAUCGAGAGGAACACUCGUGGCGAAGGCGGGUUCCUGGACAUUAACUGACGCUGAGGCACGAAGGCCAGGGGAGCGAAAGGGAUUAGAUACCCCAGUAGUC